GCCGGGUUAGCUCAGCUGGUUAGAGCAUGGUGCUAAUAACGCCAGGUUCACAGGUUCAAUCCCUGCUUUCUGCA
rnacentral:tRNA from 1 species